rnacentral:lncRNA from 1 species
GAGCGCGUCAGGCGCUGUCCGCGCCCCCGGUGCUGAAGCGACAUGGCCGGCGGCCGGGCCCCGGCAUAAGCCCUGAGCCCCGCGCUGCACCCGCCGCGCUCUAGCCGCCUGGAGUCAUGUCUCUGCUGUGCGUGGGAGGUAGGUUCUGCGUGGACGCGGGAAAAGUGCGGGGUGUGCGUGGAUGAGCCGAGUCGGGCUGCACAGCAGGGGGACCCCCGGUGCGCGCUUCAGGGCGCACUUGGAUCAGCCCUAGGUGCUCUUCCUGUCACUCACACGAGUGGAUGAGGGACUCGGGGCGCCUGUGUAGACGGUUUAUAGGCCCUGGUUGGGGCUGAGGAGACGGCGGACCGUGCGCGCGAGGGUGGGGCGUUUAGGGGUAAUGGGCCCGGACUGAGCGUAGGAGCAACCUCUCCGAUCCCCAGUAUGCCCUAAACAGUGCAGCAGGCUCCGCGGAAGCUCGUGGCUCCCUCUUCGCCUCACCCCUAGGGCUGGAGGAAGGGAAGGAGAUGUGGGGGAGCAGCUAUUUUGGGGCCAAAACGCCAUCUGCACCGAGGCCCACGCCCAGGCCCACGCUCCGCAUUUGGAGAGUAGGGAGGGAAUAACGGGAGAGGUGUGACCCCUGCACCCCUCGAAGUUCCGGGUGGGGCUAGGCACGGCUGCCAGGUAACUCUACAGCGGGAGACCUUGGGCGACCGACUGGCCAUGUAGCGAUGCGUGCCGAUACCGUUGUGAGCUCUAGGUUUGGAGGGUGGGGGGUGAACCCCCUACUCCCUUUCCCCUUCCCACCUCCAGGAAGCUGUGUAAGGAAGAGGGCGAGUCUCCAUCCCCUCAGAACCCAGGCGGCGGGAGACCUGGGCGGCGGUGUGCGGAUUUGAGCUCCGCGGCUGUGUAGCCCUAGAUGGCCCCGCCCCUCUGCCCCUCCCCCUCCCUGUCCCCCCCUCCCCCUCCGCUCGCUGCUCCAUUCACAAACCCGGCCCAGCCCGCCCGCGCCCCGCGGUGCAUCGCUCUAGUCUGUUGGACGCGGGUGUUCUUAAAGGAGCAGGAACUCUUUUCUCUGACCCUGUGCCUCGAAGGUUCCGACUGCCCAGGAUUACUGGGUAUCCGCGGCUUCCAGACCUGGGAAGUAAGCGGAGCUGAACGUGAAGGGGAUCCUCACCUCGGGAGCUCCCUGAAUCCCGUGUCCUCCCAUCCUGCCUCCUGGGGCGGGGGGGGGGGGGCGCGUCACCCCAACUCUGACGCAAACCGGAGGCUCAGCUGUGGGGGUGGAGGGCGUGCAGCCUAAGAAAGGAGGCUUCCAGAAAGCCAGGCCCAGGAGACAUUUGUACUGAAUUCCCUGGAUACCAUGGUGGGCAGAACAGGGAAUGAAGGGUAGGGCUCUGGGGAGAGGAAACAGGCAGAGAGGUAGGGAGGUGCAGGUGGGGCCUGAGUGGGGCGCUGGGCGUGGUAAAGCUGGGCCUGGAGGUGUCCAGUGGACCUGAACUCACCCUCACAGUCAGGGAACACCUUCAUUCCAACCACCCACGACCCUCCCCACGGACGCUUUAUGGCUAGGGCUGCCAUUGGAUAUAUGGGGGCUCCAGGCUCCUCUGCAAUGGAAGCUUCCAUGUUGCAGAUACAGAUCUAGAUUGUACACACAGGAUGCUAAGGAACGUUUAGUAUAUACACAUAGAUAGGCAGGAGCUGAGGCUCAGUAUGCAUAGUGCUUGCUACAGUGCUCAUAGCUCAGUUGGUACAGUGCUCAUAACUCGGUUGGUAUAGUGCUUGCAGCUCAGUUGGUACAGUGCUCAUAGCUCAGUUCAAACAGUGAUGCCCAGGAUGCACAAAGGCCUGUGUUUCAUCCCCAGCACUGCAUACAUCAAACCUGUCAGCACAUGCCAAUCACCUCAGAACUUGGGAGGCAUCGGCAGGGACUCAGGAGUUGAGGCCAGCCGGGGCUAAACAAGCCUUGUCACACAUACAGAGGAAAAUGUAGGAAAAAAUAUCCCUUCCCAUCUCAACACAGGCACAUACUUGACCACACCUCCUGAAACACACUUGGUCACAGGCAGAUACACUACGUACAUCUUAGACCUGUGAUCUCACCUGACUGUAUGUAGGUAUGAGGAGGUCAAAAAAACAAUUUGGGGUGUCUGCUCUCUCCCUCCUCCACUGUGUAGAUCCCAGAUGCCUCGGCCAUUAGGUUUGGUGGCAAGAAGUCUGCUGAGGCAUCUCCCACUUUGUUGAGACAGACUCUCUUACUGAAACUGAGCACACAGAUUGGCUGGCCAGGGGAUCCCAGGAUCCAUUUGUUCCUGCUUCCCUAGAGCUGCGGUUACAAAAGACAAAUCCAGUCUGACUCUCUAGGGGAUCUGACUCAGGUUUUAGUUUUUUCAUAGUAGCUAGCUUACAGCUCUUUCCUCC